rnacentral:rRNA from 1 species
UACCAGCACCCCGAGUGGUCGGGACGUUUAUUGGGCCUAAAGCAUCCGUAGCCGGUUCUACAAGUCUUCCGUUAAAUCCACCUGCUUAACAGAUGGGCUGCGGAAGAUACUAUGGAGCUAGGAGGCGGGAGAGGCAAGCGGUACUCGAUGGGUAGGGGUAAAAUCCGUUGAUCCAUUGAAGACCACCAGUGGCGAAGGCGGCUUGCCAGAACGCGCUCGACGGUGAGGGAUGAAAGCGGGGGGAGCAAACCGG